CGAGUAACACAUAUUUAACUUGCUCAUCCGAGGAGAAUAGCAGCCCGAAAGGGCUAUUAAUACGCCAUAGCUUUAAAUUAGUGAAUUAAUUUAAAUUAAAGGAGGCUGCCGAAAGGUGGCCUCGCGGAUGAAUAGGAAUAUGUCCUAUUAGGUCGUUGGAGAGGUAAUGGCUCACCAAGCCGAUGAUGGGUAGCUGGACUGAGAGGUUGAACAGCCGCAAUGGGAUUGAGAAAUGGCCCAUAUUCCUACGGGAAGCAGCAGUGAGGAAUUUUUCACAAUGGACGAAAGUCUGAUGGAGCAAUACCACGUGAACGAUGAAGGUCUUCUGAUUGUAAAGUUCUUUUAUUUAGGAAAAAAAGCGCGGCAGGAAAUGGCCGCGCCUUGAUUGUACUAAUUGAAUAAGUGACAGCUAACUAUGUGCCAGCAGCUGCGGUAAAACAUAGGUCACGAGCAUUAUCCGGAUUUAUUGGGCGUAAAGGAAGCGUAGGCUGAAAUGUGUAUUCAUUGUUAAAAAUAUUUGCUUAACAAGUGUUCGCGGUGAAGAUUACAUUUCUAGAAUUAGUUAGAGGGUACUGGAAUUCAAUGUGUAGUGGUGGAAUACGUAGAUAUAUUGAGGAACACCAGAGGCUAAGGCGAGUGCCUGGAACAUAAUUGACGCUGAGGCUUGAAAGCGUGGGUAGCAAAUGGGAUUAGAUACCCCAGUAGUCCACGCCGUAAACGAUGGGUAUUAGUCAUUUGGAUUUAAGACUGAGUGAUGUAGCUAACGCGUUAAAUACCCCGCCUGGGUAGUAUAUAUGCAAAUAUGAA
rnacentral:rRNA from 1 species